GAGGAACGCUGGCGGCGUGCCUAAUACAUGCAAGUCGAGCGAACAGACGAGGAGCUUGCUCCUUUGACGUUAGCGGCGGACGGGUGAGUAACACGUGGGUAACCUACCUAUAAGACUGGGAUAACUUCGGGAAACCGGAGCUAAUACCGGAUAAUAUUUCGAACCGCAUGGUUCGAUAGUGAAAGAUGGCUCUGCUAUCACUUAUAGAUGGACCUGCGCCGUAUUAGCUAGUUGGUAAGGUAACGGCUUACCAAGGCAACGAUACGUAGCCGACCUGAGAGGGUGAUCGGCCACACUGGAACUGAGACACGGUCCAGACUCCUACGGGAGGCAGCAGUAGGGAAUCUUCCGCAAUGGGCGAAAGCCUGACGGAGCAACGCCGCGUGAGUGAUGAAGGUCUUCGGAUCGUAAAACUCUGUUAUUAGGGAAGAACAAACGUGUAAGUAACUGUGCACGUCUUGACGGUACCUAAUCAGAAAGCCACGGCUAACUACGUG
rnacentral:rRNA from 1 species